UAGCUCAGAUGGUAAAGCACCUGCCUGCAAUGCAGGAGACCCAGGUUUAAUGCCUGG
rnacentral:tRNA from 1 species